rnacentral:tRNA from 1 species
GAGAUUUUAGUAUAAAUUAGUAUUUUUCUUUUUCAUGGAAAAGGUUAAAAUCUUA